CCUACGGGUGGCAGCAGUAGGGAAUAUUGCUCAAUGGGGGAAACCCUGAAGCAGCAACGCCGCGUGGAGGAUGAAGGUUUUCGGAUUGUAAACUCCUUUUGUUAGAGAAGAUAAUGACGGUAUCUAACGAAUAAGCACCGGCUAACUCCGUGCCAGCAGCCGCGGUAAUACGGAGGGUGCAAGCGUUACUCGGAAUCACUGGGCGUAAAGAGCGCGUAGGCGGGAUAGCAAGGCAGAUGUGAAAUCCUAUGGCUUAACCAUAGAACUGCAUUUGAAACUGGUAUUCUAGAGUAUGGGAGAGGUAGGUGGAAUUCUUGGUGUAGGGGUGAAAUGCGUAGAGAUCAAGAGGAAUACUCAUUGCGAAGGCGACCUGCUAGAACAUAACUGACGCUGAUGCGCGAAAGCGUGGGGAGCAAACAGGAUUAGAUACCCGAGUAGUC
rnacentral:rRNA from 1 species